CCGAGACCUUUAGCUGGUAGUGUGACCGCCAGAGGGCGGGGCAGAUGUAACAGAGGAUAAAAGCUUUUCUGUACAGCGUUUAAGGAACAUGAUAACAAAAGCUGCACUUUCAUUUCUUGAAAAGAUUAUCUGGUAUCUAGAGAACGCGCUGUAAAUGCCCAAAAUCUAAGGAGUUUUUGGUAUUGGCAUAAGGAGUCCCAUUCUCACCUGGGAAUUAUUUAGGAUAGCUACACAGAGCCAAAGAAAUGUGUGAUAUGAAAUGAAGCAAUCGGACAGUCACUAGAAGAAUUUAAGCCCUUUUAAGGCAGCUACCAAAGAAAAGUGUCUGAUGAAGGAACAAGGAGAUUUAAAAAAAAAAAAAAAGAUAAAAGCACUGAAAGGGAACUAUACCCAUUGGGUGGAUAGAUGACUCACUUUGAAGGUAAUAGGAGGAAUUUACCUUGGAAAACUUAGGAUUUUUCACUGAUGAAAUAUAGAAAGGGUAAUUUACUAAAAAGUGCAAAUGGCCACUGAACUUAACACCAGGGUAAUUCUCAAACAAACUUGUAAUUACAGAAGAGCAUAACAUGAAAUCUCUAGUUACAGCAAACACUCCAUCCUCAUCACUAAGCUAUUGUUUGAGAAUUCAGCUAUAGAAAUAAAUUUGGUCCUAACUUCAGAGGAAACGAAAGAGGUGGGAGAUGUUAACUCAUUCAGAUCCAGGUGAAAAAAAAUCUCUUCCUGUUAAGUCAUUUUGAUGUAUGUCAGUGCUGAGGGAGUUGAUUAAAAAUGCAUAAGAAAUUGUUAAUUUGAAUGUGAUGCUCCUAAAACCUCUGCAUUCUUUGUGUUCCAGGUGCUGAUUGUGUAUAAGAACACAAUGCAGAUAGGAAUUACAAAGACCUGAACUGCUAUUUCUACUCUAAUAUGAAAGUUGGUACAGGCCUUGAGACUAUGUCAUAGUCAGAGAAUACUUUUUUUACAUAAAUAUUACAAAUACAGAGUCCAUCUCAUGUUGAAUUUCUUUACUGUUACUAUUAACUAUUAAAUGAUCAUCUGUUCAUCUUCCAAGAUUAAAUGGCUUGACAGUUUAGAUAUUUGCACUGUUUACAUGCAUAUGAAAUAAAUGUGCUUCACUUGUGUUUGAACACACAUUUUAUAUACCAAAGGCCUGUAUGGAGAACUGCAUAUUUUUUCUUUUUAUUUUCCAAGAUAUACAAUAGCAUUAUGAAACAGAGAAUUUACAAGAAUUAGUUACAAGAGCAUACCUCUAAUUUUUGCUAUUAACUUCCUGCUUUUCUGUUAAUAAAGUCAAAAGCCUUAUUGAGACCCUAUUUAUGCUAAUUCAGAGUGAAAACUAUGCAUGCCCCAUGAGCCUCUUUCAGCAGCCUCAUCCCCCAACCUACUUUUUCUUGAGUAUUUAGAAGGAUUGUUUAGGACUUUGGACAUUAUCCUCAGUUGGAACAUCCUAUAGACCCUGUCUGAUGAACAGAAGUCUUUGGAAUUUAUAGAACCCAACACUUUUGAUUUAAGAUUUUAUUAAGAGGUAACUGCUCUUGAAACCACAGAGGAUGCUCACCUACAUACAACCUCUGAACCCACAUUGGCUUUACCUGGGAAAUACAUUCAUGCUCCAACAGCACACAUCAUGCGUAUCUAUAGCUCACAGGAUGUGUGUGGCCCAGGACAGACAGUAAUGCAUCCCAGAGCUUUCAACAUAAAACUUUUAACAUUAUUGUGAGAUUUUUAGCAACAUUUUCCUGGAAUCAGUUGUGCUUAGCUUGAGCAGGGGCUGCAUUGGUGACAACAGAGCAUUGCAGAGUGAAGUGUGCAGUGCUCCACAACUCAGGCCUGCCAUGAACACUCAGUGGAAUCAAGAUCCAUGAGUUGCAUGUGUCAUGUGUGACACCCGGCGAUGAUCUACAUGAGACUGAUGAAACAGAGUGGAUGUGCACCUCACGACUACAUGCCUCCAGUAAUAUAUCAAGUGGGCUACUGCAGGCCUACCAGUUACCAAAAACAAACCAGGCUGUCACGGGGUUAUCUCUAGAUAUAAGUCCAUGAUAGGGGGGCACAGGCCCCUCUCUUCUUCUCUGCACCCCUCAGAAUUUAGAUCUGGGUACCCAUAGGACAAAAUGUAAUUGGAAGGUGCAGGUAGGGCCUAAAUGUUGUGGCCUACUUGCACCUUGGGCUUUCUAGUCCCUCUGGUAAUAGGUACAUGGCCUACUGAUAUUGUGGUCAACACUCCAGUCUUCAUUGCUAAAGGGACCCCCAUCAUGUCCCUAUGGCAGAUCAGGACACCCCCUUUGGUGCCUGAUAUAGUUAUGCAGCUGCAGACAUCUGGCCAGAAGGUGUGGUACAGGCAGCUGGGGCAUGCCCCAGUACAAGCUGAAGUGUUGACCCAAGAUAGAAAUACAGCGUGUAUCUUGCCCUGGAGGGUAGGCCUUCCUGGUACCUUUGAAUCAUUUGCAUUACUCCCCGUGAGUCAUUGAGCCUCUGGGACCACCGGAAGAAACAAAAUGUCCUCAAAGCAUUCCAGUGCUGCUGUCAGAUCAUGUGCAGCAUCUGGUGAUGGUCUGCAUGGGACUGAUGGAGCAUAGGAUGGACCUGCACCUCACAACUACAUGCCUCCAGUAACAUCAUCAAGCACUGGCCCAUGGAAGAACAUGAACUUCCACCAUUCAUCACUUGUCUUAAAUUGUGUCAACACAUAUCAGGACAGGACAUUGUGUAAGUGUCACAAUGUGUCGGAUUUCUGUAUUAGGAAAGACUCACCCUUUAGUUAACUCAAUCAUUGGUUCACACCAUGAAGGGGUGGAGUGUAUGGGAACUGUUGAAUCACAGCCUGAACCUCUGAUUGAUCACCUGAGGUGAGCACUGAGUCAGCUGCGGGAGCACAGGUGAAGGCAAUUCAUCUGUGUGUCCGGAAGAGGUGGAGCCUGGAUACAGCCCUCCUAGACCUCAUCUAAGUGCUGACUGCAACCAAGAAAGGAUCUCUCCUCAUGGAGUUUCUUGCAAGCCUACACACUGGUGAGCACUUCUCAUUUAUCUCUGAUAAUCUCUUCCAGUUUGAUUGUCUUACCAGUCUAACUUCUCUAUUAUUGUCUACUUAUUGACCAUACAUCUCUCUAUAUGUAAUUGUGUGUAAAAUAUGGUGAUUGCCAAUAUUUCAGCCUACCUAUGCGUGUGUGUACCUGUGAAGAUGCAUGUUUUUUGUUAUGAAAGAAAUUUGCAAGUUUUAUGAUUUUAAUUAUUAAUUAAAUGUGUAUUUCACCUACAUUUAUUCACUUUUCCUCAGAACUUGUAAAUUUACCAUAAUACACAUUUAGCAGCCGCUUUUUUUCUUCAUGGAAGUAACGUAAGUUAGAUAUUUUGUGAUAAAAUCUAAAACACAGAUGAAAUAAAAAUGCAAGAAAAAAAAAGUAUAUAUUCCGAAAUAAGACAGAAUUUGAAAACUUUCUCAGCUCACCUCCAAUUCAUAGUUGGGAAAGGGGCAGCAAAUGUAAAAUUGCUAUAAAAUAACGAACCAAUGUAACUUCUGAAUGUGGUAACAUCUACUACUGGCAAAUGGAACACAGGGUGUGCAGUGUGGGGAUUUUUAACUGUAAUUCUUGUUAGGGUAACUGCAGUAUCUGCUGUGUCCUCACCUUGGCACAAAGAAAUACAGAGUGACAAUCAGACAUUCUACUCAAAACCAUUUGUGUUACCUCAGCAGACUUCUAUGGCCUCUCUUAACAGAGAAAAAUAGACCUUGCUUCUGCAUCGCCCCUUAUUCACAUCAUCAGCUAUUGGGAGCCUGUAUAUUUGUGAACAACUAUCUCAAGGAUAAAGCCCAGGAAGAGUAAAACUUCAUGACAACCUCCUUGAGAGCUCACUGAGAAUGGCAACCAUGGCCAUCAAAGCACGCUGUUGUAUCAGUUGUGCAUAAAUGAGGUCACAUAUUCCUGAACGUGGUUUUGUUGCCCUUGUUAUGUUUUAAUUAGAAAAAAAUAUAUAAAAGUUUUGUUACUUCUA